rnacentral:rRNA from 1 species
GACGAACGCUGGCGGCGUGCUUAACACAUGCAAGUCGAACGGUAAGGCCCUUCGGGGUACACGAGUGGCGAACGGGUGAGUAACACGUGGGUGAUCUGCCCUGCACUUCGGGAUAAGCCCGGGAAACUGGGUCUAAUACCGGAUAGGACUCCGGACUGCAUGGUCUGGGGUGGAAAGCUUUUGCGGUGUGGGAUGGGCCCGCGGCCUAUCAGCUUGUUGGUGGGGUGUUGGCCUACCAAGGCGACGACGGGUAGCCGGCCUGAGAGGGUGACCGGCCACACUGGGACUGAGAUACGGCCCAGACUCCUACGGGAGGCAGCAGUGGGGAAUAUUGCACGAUGGGCGCAAGCCUGAUGCAGCGACGCCGCGUGAGGGAUGACGGCCUUCGGGUUGUAAACCUCUUUCAGCAUCGACGAAGCGAAAGUGACGGUAGGUGCAGAAGAAGGACCGGCCAACUACGUGCCAGCCGCCGCCGUAA